AACGAACGCUGGCGGCAUGCCUAACACAUGCAAGUCGAACGAGACCUUCGGGUCUAGUGGCGCACGGGUGCGUAACGCGUGGGAACCUGCCCUUAGGUUCGGAAUAACUCCCCGAAAGGGGUGCUAAUACCGGAUAAUGUCUUCGGACCAAAGAUUUAUCGCCUUUGGAUGGGCCCGCGUUGGAUUAGCUAGUUGGUAGGGUAAAAGCCUACCAAGGCGACGAUCCAUAGCUGGUCUGAGAGGAUGAUCAGCCACACUGGGACUGAGACACGGCCCAGACUCCUACGGGAGGCAGCAGUGGGGAAUAUUGGACAAUGGGCGAAAGGCUGAUCCAGCAAUGCCGCGUGAGUGAUGAAGGCCUUAGGGUUGGAAAGCUCUUUUACCCGGGAUGAUAAUGACAGUACCGGGAGAAUAAGCUCCGGCUAACUCCGUG
rnacentral:rRNA from 1 species